rnacentral:lncRNA from 1 species
GGAGACCUUAACUGGCUGCAGCUCUUCGAGCACGCCUGACGUCUCCUGGCUGCCAGUCAUCCUGACAAGAAUGCCAGGAAUCUCUUUAUUACCACGAUGGAGAUAAAUGAUAUGUCUAGGAGGGCUGUUCUGACAGUGGGCACGGCCGUGCAUUCUGCGCUUUCUGAAUUGGAAGAGAUCUGUUUCUGAUUGAGGCAGUAC